rnacentral:ncRNA from 1 species
GACCAGGUGCCCGGGGAUUCGCCCGGGUGAAAAGGGAAGUCCGGUGCAAACCCGGCACAACAGCCAUUACUGUGAUCGGUAUCCGCGGCGCAAUAAGCCAUUGAGCUUCUGCUUGAGAAGGCGCGUCCGCGGGGAAAACGCUUUUCCAGCCGUCAGCCAGGAGACCUGCCUUGCCUG